rnacentral:rRNA from 1 species
GGGAUUGCCUCAGUAACGGCGAGUGAAGCGGCAGCAGCUCAAAUUUGAAAUCUGGCCCCCGGGGGUCCGAGUUGUAAUUUGGAGAGGAUGCUUCGGGUCAGGCGGCGGUCUAAUUCGCUUGGAACAGCGGGUCAGAGAGGGUGAGAGCCCCGUCGAGGGGCCGUCGGCCGCGCCCGUGUGAAGCUCCUUCGACGAGUCGAGUUGUUUGGGAAUGCAGCUCCAAGUGGGUGGUAAAUUUCAUCUAAAGCUAAAUAUGGGCCAGAGACCGAUAGCGCACAAGUAGAGUGAUCGAAAGAUGAAAAGCACUUUGAAAAGAGAGUUAAACAGUACGUGAAAUUGUUGAAAGGGAAGCGCUGGCCACCAGACGUGGGCGGGACGGUUCCCCCGACCGACGGUCGGGCUACUCCGUGCCGUCCAGGCCAGCAUCGGUUCGGGUGGUCGGUGAAAGGCCCCGGGAACGUACCGACUCUCCGGGGUCGACUUACAGCCCGGGGUGUCAUGCGACCCAUCCGGACCGAGGAACGCGCUUCGGCUCGGAUGCUGGCGUAAUGGUGGUCAGCGGCCCGUCUUGAAACACGGACCAAGGAGUCUAACUGCUGUGCGAGUGUUUGGGUGUCAAGCCCCGACGCGGAAUGAAGGUGAACGGAGGUCAGAACCCCGCAUGGGGCGCACGAUCGACCGAUCCGGAUGUCUUCGGAUGGAUUUGAGUAUGAGCAUGGCGGUUGGGACCCGAAAGAUGGUGAACUAUGCCUGGAUAGGGUGAAGCCAGAGGAAACUCUGGUGGAGGCUCGCAGCGGUUCUGACGUGCAAAUCGAUCGUCAAAUCUGGGUAUAGGGGCGAAAGACCAAUCGAACCAUCUGGUAGCUGGUUCCUGCCGAAGUUUCCCUCAGGAUAGCAGUAACGAAUUCAGUUUUAUGAGGUAAAGCGAAUGAUUAGAGGCCUUGGGGUUGAAACAACCUUAACCUAUUCUCAAACUUUAAAUAUGUAAGAAGUCCCUGUGCU